AUGACGUCAAAUCAUCAUGCCCCUUAUGACCUGGGCUACACACGUGCUACAAUGGGCGGUACAAAGGGUCGCGAACCCGCGAGGGGGGAGCCAAUCCCAAAAAGCCGCUCUCAGUUCGGAUUGCAGGCUGCAACUCGCCUGCAUGAAGCCGGAACCGCUAGUAAUCGCGGAUCAGCAUGCCGCGGUGAAUACGUUCCCGGGCCUU
rnacentral:rRNA from 1 species